rnacentral:rRNA from 1 species
UACGUAGGGUGCAAGCGUUGUCCGGAAUUACUGGGCGUAAAGCGCACGUAGGCGGCUUUGUAAGUUAGAGGUGAAAGCCCGGAGCUCAACUCCGGAACUGCCUUUAAGACUGCAUCGCUUGAAUCAUGGAGAGGUCAGUGGAAUUCCGAGUGUAGAGGUGAAAUUCGUAGAUAUUCGGAAGAACACCAGUGGCGAAGGCGACUGACUGGACAUGUAUUGACGCUGAGGUGCGAAAGCGUGGGGAGCAAACAGG